GGCUUCAGAAGUGAGAGCAAAGAUUUCAAUAUCAAUUACUAGCUAGCUAACUUGAUGUAUGAAGUAUAACCCUUAAGGAGGUUGACAAAGUUAAAUAACCUUGGCCUUCUAAACUUUUGAGAGCAUGGGUAAAACUAAGUACCCAACUUCUCUUAGUUAUCUAGUAUAAGAGUUUUGCAUAUUUUUGUAGAUCAUUUGAGAAGUACUUAGCAACACAUAAUAAUUAUCA
rnacentral:lncRNA from 1 species